rnacentral:rRNA from 1 species
AUUGAACGCUGGCGGCAGGCCUAACACAUGCAAGUCGAGCGGAUGAAGGGAGCUAGCUCCUGGAUUCAGCGGCGGACGGGUGAGUAAUGCCUAGGAAUCUGCCUGGUAGUGGGGGAUAACGUCCGGAAACGGGCGCUAAUACCGCAUACGUCCUGAGGGAGAAAGUGGGGGAUCUUCGGACCUCACGCUAUCAGAUGAGCCUAGGUCGGAUUAGCUAGUUGGUGGGGUAAAGGCCUACCAAGGCGACGAUCCGUAACUGGUCUGAGAGGAUGAUCAGUCACACUGGAACUGAGACACGGUCCAGACUCCUACGGGUGGCAGCAGUGGGGAAUAUUGGACAAUGGGCGAAAGCCUGAUCCAGCCAUGCCGCGUGUGUGAAGAAGGUCUUCGGAUUGUAAAGCACUUUAAGUUGGGAGGAAGGGCAGUAAGUUAAUACCUUGCUGUUUUGACGUUACCAACAGAAUAAGCACCGGCUAACUUCGUG